rnacentral:misc_RNA from 1 species
UCUCCGUAGGUGAACCUGCGGAGGGAUCAUUACAAGUGACCCCGGUCUUACCACCGGGAUGUUCAUAACCCUUUGUUGUCCGACUCUGUUGCCUCCGGGGCGACCCUGCCUUCGGGCGGGGGCUCCGGGUGGACACUUCAAGCUCUUGCGUAACUUUGCAGUCUGAGUAAACUUAAUUAAUAAAUUAAAACUUUUAACAACGGAUCUCUUGGUUCUG